rnacentral:rRNA from 1 species
GAAUAUUGGACAAUGGGCGAAAGCCUGAUCCAGCCAUGCCGCGUGAGUGGAGAAGGCCUUCGGGUUGUAAAGCUCUUUCGACGGGGACGAUGAUGACGGUACCCGUAUAAGAAGCCCCGGCAAACUUCGUGCCAGCAGCCGCGGUAAUACGAAGGGGGCUAGCGUUGUUCGGAAUUACUGGGCGUAAAGCGCGCGUAGGCGGUGGUCCAUGUCAGAGGUGAAAGCCUGGAGCUCAACUCCAGAAUUGCCUUUGAAACGGGAUCGCUAGAGUCCGAGAGAGGAUGGCGGAAUUCCUAGUGUAGAGGUGAAAUUCGUAGAUAUUAGGAAGAACACCGGUGGCGAAGGCGGCCAUCUGGCUCGGUACUGACGCUCAGGCGCGAAAGCGUGGGGAGCAAACAG